rnacentral:tRNA from 1 species
UAUUAACAGAAGCUUUUGUAGUGUCCCACUGUUGAUGGGAAGGAGGGGAACCCUGUUAUGAG